UAUCUAACAACGAAUAAAGCAAUGGAUAUUGAAGAGUAACUUCUAAAAGUUUAUGUAAAUUAAACUGUUUGUAUCAAUAUCUGAAAAACAAUCCAACAGGGAUCAACCUAGUAAUGAAUACUUCUUUCCUGUGAAGCUUGAAAUUCUUUGUUUUUGUCUUCUUCUUAGGUGACUCUUGAUUUUCAUUUUUUAGAGAAACAUUAGCUGCAUUUCCUUUUGACCCAAACAACGCUUUCCAGAAGAACUCUUGGUUCUAUUUUCAGUUUUGUUGCUGCUGCUUUAGAAUGGAGUCGACUCGCUUCAACUGACUGUGUCGCCGGUUUCCAUCCAAACGCCGUCCGAACCACUGAACGAAUCACUUCAGGAGUCUUUGUUUCUGCCUCUUCUUCAACUGAAAUGCAGAAUAUAUAUAGUCAAAACUUCACUUGAAAACAGACAGAAGAUAAUAAAAAGAAUCCAAACCUUGUGGAGAUUCCUUAUCAGACAAAUCAGAUGGCAAAUUCUUCUCAGGUUCUUUGUAAUCAAGAGGUGGGGAAAAUCAACCUCACAGUCUGUUUCAAUAUAGAAAUAGCGGAAAGGUUUCGUUCAACCACCAUCAAUGUGAAUUACCUUUUUGUUGUUAUACGGAAUCAUUAUAGUGCGGCCAGUUGUUAAACAUGAGUAACUCCUCAACGAAGUUUCUAACCUGAAAAUGAUCACGGAAAAGAAACAAAAUAUUAGUUUUACCGACACAAAUAUGAUACUUAAGAAACACGUAACUAGAUAGGAUAUUAUUCAACUAUCAUUCAUACAUUGCUUUUGGAUUAGUGAUAUCUAGAAAAUCUUUGGAGUGAGGCUGCAGUUUCACAAACUUUCCUUUGACAAGACUUGUGUUUUUCAGAGAUACAAUGUCUCCAUUCUGUAAGAGCAUAUCUUCCAUCAUCUGAAAAUUACAACAUAAAAACAUCACCAUCUUAUGUAAAUUAAAACGGUUACUCAGUAAACUAUGAAAGGAAAACAUGUAUACCCAAUUUGGUAAGGACACCGUCCCUUCGUCAGCUGUGAAUUCUAAAACUCCGCAGUGAGUAGUUAUUUCAGCAGAAAGAUUUCUCAGUUCAAAUAACAUUGGAUAUUCUAUGUUCAUACGAGCUGCAAGAUUUUAACAAGAAUAUGAGUAUGAAUUUAAGAUAGGAAAAAUAUUCAAAUCGUUGAAACUUGAGUUACGACUAUAAACUUACCGAGGCGUUCUAGAGCCGAAGCAGGCAUGAUAACUGAAAGAAAAGAGAAUUUGCGUUAGCUAUCAAAAUUAUCACAAUGAUUGAUGAUUGAUACAAAAGUAUAAAACGUAACCAAGUAAGAUGCUAGGGCACAUACUUUUAUCACCACAUUCCAAAAUUGGCUGCAAAAUAUCAGAAAAGAAAGAAUCAGUAUUAUUGAAUAUUUUACAAAGAUGAUCUAAGCUUAUAUUUGAAGCAUACCCUAUCGAGAGAUGAGACCGAAAAACAACGGUAAGAAUGCUCAAAAAUUGCAUUCUGCCGCAGAUUCCUCCUAUGCCCAUAAAAAACCUCAUUCCACUGAUGAUCUAGAUGAUCAUUCUGCUGCAGAUUCCUCUCAUACUCAUGAAUAUCCUCAUUCAACCGAUUUAGAUGAUCAUUCUGCUGCAGAUUCCUCGGAUACUGAUGAAUAUCCUCAGCGAACUGAUCUAGAUCCUCAUAAAAAUCCUCAUCCGACUGAUCAUCAUCAUAUUCAUAUGAGUGAUUACUUAUUUGAUCUUCAGACAAAUUACUUUCAGGUGAAACAUUAUUCACCUCUUGCAAACCCUCAUUCAACUGAUUUUCAUGAGAAUUCUACAAGAAAAAAACAGUUAAUGCAAGCACAUUAAUAACCAUAAUAAGCAACAAAGAACUCAGCAUUAACAUAUAUAUUCUGAAUUAAGAACAUACAAACUAUAAGCAACAUAAAAUAACUAGCAAUAAUCAAGUUUCAUAUAUAGAACAUUAUCAUCGCACUAACCUUGGAAUAAAAAAAAAACACCGAGUAUUGUUUAGCGAAGAAAGUCCAGUGCUUUGAAAUAACCUUGGAAUAAAAAAAAAACACCGAGUAUUGUUUAGCGAAGAAAGUCCAGUGCUUUGAAGAAAAUUUCUAGUCUCAAAAACAAAUAGUGGUUUGAGAAUAAGGUUUUUACUAGUUUAUAUAAUGACAUGUGAGAGGUUCAAAGGAAUCCUAAUAAUAAGUUGAUGUCGUAAAAGUCUUAAAUUUGUUAUUCUCAAUAAUAUAAUUAUUUCAAAAGAUUUAAUUAUUUCCUUCAAUCUUAUUUAUUUAUGGAUAUAAUUUAUUUUUUUAGAUUUAAUUAUUUUAGAAUAAUUAAUAAUUAUAUAUCUGAUAUAUAGAACAUUAUCAUCGCAUUAACCUUGGAAUAAAAAAAAACAAUGAGUAUUGUUUAGCGAAGAAAGUUCAGUGCUUUGAAGAAAAUUUCUAGUCUCAGAAACAAAUAGUGAUUUGAAAAUAAGGUUUUUACUAGUUUAUAUAAUGGCAUGUGAGAGGUUAAAAGGAAUCCUAAUAAUAAGCUAAAAGUCUUAAAUUUGUUAUUCUCAAUAAUAUAGUUAUUUCAAAAGAUUUAAUUAUUUCCUUCAAUCUUAUUUAUUUAUGGAUAUAAUUUAUUUUUUUAGAUUUGAUUAUUUUAGAAUAAUUAAUAAUUAUAUAUCUGAUAUAUAGAACAUUAUCGUCGCACUAACCUUGGAAUAAAAAAAAAACACCGAGUAUUGUUUAGCGAAGAAAGUCCGGUACUUUGAAGAAAAUGUCUAGUCUCAGAAACAAAUAGUGGUUUGAGAAUAAGGUUUUAACUAGUUUAUAUAAUGACACGUGAGAGGUUCAAAGGAAUCCUUUCGUUGCUUUGUGCACGAAAUCACGUCUCCCCCUCGGUGCCUUUUGCACGAGUAGGGUACCUUUGUAAGAUCUUUGUUUCCCGUUUGUUUAAAUGUUGAUAUAGGUUUGGUGAGUCUCGGGGUUUGGGUAGCCAUGAUUUGAGAACUUCAUCCCCGCCAUUGUGCUUGAGGGACGAUAUGAGGUUUUCAUACCUACUCACAAAGUUCCCCAUCUGUUAGAGUGUGCUAAAGCCCAGAUUCGUCUGACAAAUCCCCUUGAGUCUAGGUUUUACCUAACAGGUUUUGUAUGAUUGUUUUUCCUUAUACACAUGUUUGUGACCUUUUGAAUAGAGUGUGCUAAAGCCCAGAUUCGUCUGACAAAUCCCCUUGAGUCUAGGUUUUACCUAACAGGUUUUGUAUGAUUGUUUUUCCUUAUACACAUGUUUGUGACCUUUUGAUAGUUACUUACCUUUUGCAAGUACUUCCCUGCCUUUUGCAUAAGAGACAAUUCCCUUCUUGCUUACCUUUUGUGAGUUCCUUUUGUGCCUUUUGUAUAAAGACUGUUAUCCCCAGUUGCUUACCUUUUGUAAGUCUCCUCAUUCUUUUGCUCGAGGAUUUAUAAUCCUAAAUCUGCUUAGCUUUUGUAAGCGUCAUUUGCCUUUUGCAUUGAAAAUCUUCUCUUGAUAAGGAGUCAUUGCUACCUUUUGCAUGAGAUAACCAUCCAUUCCAUCUAUCUUCUUAACCUUUCGUUGAGAAGUUUCUCAUUGCCUUUUGUAUGAGAAAUCCUUGCUAGCCUUCUUCUUAACCUCUUUGUUGAGAAAUUUCUCAUUACCCUUCGUAUGAGGAAUCCCAUUCAUCUUUCUUCUUAACCUUUCACUGAGAAGUUUCUCAUUACCUUUUGUAUGAGAGAUCAUAUCCAUUCUUUCUUCUUAACCUUUCAUUGAGAAGAUUGAGAAGUUUCUCAUUACCUUUCGUAUGAAAAGUACCCAACUUUUUUCUUAACCUUUCAUUAAGAAGUUCUCACUACCUUUUGUGUGAAAAUCCCCAGCAGACCUUGUGUCUAGGAGCUCUCGUUAUAUUUUGUACGAGAAUCUCAUUCACAUUCUCUUCUUAACCUUUUGUUAAGAAGUUCUCAUCACCUUUUGUGCGAGAAACUCGACCCUCUUUCUUCUUAACCUUUUGUUUGGAAGCCCCCUUUUUUUCCUUGCUAAGGAGUCGUUGCUACCUAUUGGGCGAGAAAAUCAUAUCUCCCCAGCAAGGUUGUCCCUCAUUCCCAUUUCCUUCUUAACCUUUUGUCAAGUAGUUCUCAUUACCUUUUGUGUGAGAAGUCUGUCCACCUUUUUCCUUUAAUGUAUUUGGAAAUUUCCAUCUCUCUUGCUAAGGAGUCGUUGCUAUCUGUUGCACGAAGAGGUCGUUUCUCAGUUGAGUUGCCUACCUUUUACAAGACUUCUCUUUGCCUUUGGCAGAAAAUCUCUUUUCAAAGUCUUUUUUACCCACGGGUACUUUCCUUUUGCAAACACCUAAUUCUUUUACCUUCGUAGAAUCCUGUGGGAAUACUUCGAUCACCGGUUACAAGCCAAAACUUGUUAGUAGAGGCAAGAAAAUAAAAAAGAAGAAAAAAGAAAAGAAUGAGAAAUUCAGAUAAAGACACAAAAAGAGAUCACUCAUACACCGCAUACUGUAAGAACCCAAUUUUGACCCUAAGAUCCCUCAUGCAAUUCCAUCAUAAGCAUUAGCAUUGGGAUCAUAUCUUGGCAUCCUCCUUAUCCCUCCUUCAUUGGGUUUAUUUUGGGAGAGGUCACUAAGCACUUAGUGAUUAUAUCAUACUUGUAUAUUAUCAUUUUACUAAUCAAAAUAUCAAAAACAUGUAUUUGCAUCUAUCUAAGUCUUUUGUAGGUAGGGCAUGAUCUCAUUGAUUCAUUGAUCACAUCUAGGAUUUGAGGCCCUCAUGAACAAAGAGCACAACCAAGAAUUGAUUCAAGAAUGAUUAUAAGCAUCAUAUAUGAGUCCCAAUGAUCUCUACAUGUUAUAUUGAUCAAAUUUUCUUCAAGAGUUUGAAGGUGAUUUGUUUGGAAACCUAGUUUGAUUGGGUAUCUUGAGUAACUCUCCAACAUCUAUCUCCCAAUUGAAUCAAAUUUCUCAAGGGACAUUCAAAUAUCAUCAUCUUUGAUAUAAUGAUCUACCAUGAGCCAAUAAAGUCAAGGGAUUUGAAAGUUAGCAGUUAGUUGAUGCAUUUGAAAAGGCUUUCAAGUUGGCUGACAUUGACCCUCAAAGAACAGCAAGAGAAAUAUUUUUCCCUCAUUAAUACAAAUGAGAACACUUUACAUUGUUCUUAUUCUUUGACAUGUUAUUGUGACAAUAAUAUUUUAUUUUCUUUCUAUUUGUUGUUCUCUUCAGUUAUUCUUCGCAUGACAGUAUCCGCUAUUUAAUGACAGCGAAACGUUUGGGCCUCCAUACGGUUGCGGUAAGUAGUCCACCCGUUAGUUUUAGACAACUGAAAAAUAGUUUGCAUUUGUUUGAGCACUUCAAUUAAGUAUUAUAAUUAGUGUCCACUUGAGUUUUCCACAUACAUUGUUGUAUUGAUUUGUUUUCCACUUUUGAACAUCAAUUUUUUCCAAAGGAAUGAUAUUUGAAAGAAACAGUUUUAUUUGGAGAUGAUCUUGUAUUCGCUUUAACCCUUCCAUCUAUAUCAUGAAGUGUCAAUUGAACAAGUGCGUUAUCUUAUGUUGUUCAAUUUUUGGUUUUUUUAAUGCAACGAUGUACAUAAAUAUAACAGUGAUAUUGCAAAAGACGAGUUUGAAUAAAGGCAUAGUAAAUAGGAAACGAUUAUAUCAUAAUGAACCAACGAAUAUAGUAACUUCUAAGUUACUGUAAAUUAAACUAUCCUCUACUAAUAUCAAUAUCUGAAAACAAUCCACAAGGAUAUCAACCUUAUUAUGAAACUUUUCCUGUGAAAGCUUGAAAUUCUUUGGUUUUUGUCUUCUUCUUAGGUGACUCUUGACUUUCAGUUUUUAGAGAAACAUUAGCUGCAUUUCCUUUUGACCCAAAAACAAGCUUUCCAGAAGAACUUUUGGUCUUAUUUUCAAUUUCUUGUUGCUGCUGCUUUAGAAUUGGAGUCGAUGCCUGUGUCGCCGGUUUUCCAUCCAAACGCCGUCUCGAACCACAGAACGGAAUCACUUCAGGAGUCUUUGUUAAGGAAUCACUAUGAAAGGAAAACAUGUAUAUCCAAUUUGGUAAGGACACCGUCCCUUCGUCAGCUAUGAAUUCUAAAACUCCGCAGUGAGUAAUUUUAUCAGUAGAAGGACUUCUCAGUUCAAAUAAUAUUGGAUAUUCUAUGUUCAUACGAGCUGUAAGAUUUUAACAAGAAUAUGAAUAUGAAUUUAAGAUAGAAAAAAUAUUUAAAUCGUUGAAACUUGAGUUACGAAUAUAAAGUUACCGAGGCAUUCUAGAGCCGAAGCAGGCAUGAUAACCGAAAGAAAAGAGAAUUUGCAUUAGCUAUUGAAAUUAUCACAAUGAUUGAUGAUUGAUACAAAAGAAUAAAAUGUAACCAAGUAAGAUGUUAGUGCACAUACUUUUAUCACCACAUUCCAGAAUUUUGGCUGCAAAAAAUCAGAAAAGAAAGAAUCAGUAUUUUACAAAGAUGAUCUAUGCUUAUAUUUGAAAACCAUUUGAUGACAUACCCUAUCGAGAGAUGAGACCGAAAAACAACGGUAAGAAUGCUCAAAAAUUGCAUUCUGCCGCAGAUUCCUCCUAAGUCCAUUAAAAACCACAUUGCACUGAUGAUCAUUCUGCCGCAAAUUCCUCGUAUGCUCAUAAAAAAUCCAAUUGCAAUGAUGAUCAUUCUGCUGCAGAUUCCUCCUAUGCCCAUAAAAAACCUCAUUGCACUGAUGAUCAUUCUGCCGCAGAUUCCUCGUAUGCCCAUAAAAAACCCCAUUGCACUGAUGAUCAUUCUGCUGCAGAUUCCUCUUAUGCCCAUAAAAAAACUCAUUGCACUGAUGACCAUUCUGCCGCAGAUUUCUCCUAUGUCCAUAAAAAACCCCAUUGCCCUGAUGAUCAUUCUGCCGCAGAUUCCUCGUAUGCCCAUAAAAAGCCCCAUUGCACUGAUGAUCAUUCUGCUGCACAUUCCUCCUAUGCCCAUAAAAAACCUCAUUCCAUUGAUGAUCUAGAUGAUCAUUCUGCUGCAGAUUCCUCUCAUACUCAUGAAUAUCCUCAUUCAACCGAUUUAGAUGCUCAUUCCGCCGCAGAUUCCUCCUAUGUCCAUAAAAAACCCCAUUGCGCUGAUGAUCGUUCUGCCGCAAAUUCCACCUAUGCCCAUAAAAAACCUCAUUCCACUGAUGAUCUAGAUGAUCAUUCUGCUGCAGAUUCCUCUCGUACUCAUGAAUAUCCUCGUUCAACCGAUUUAGAUGAUCAUUCUGCCGCAGAUUCCUCGUAUGCCCAUAAAAAACCCCAUUGUACUGAUGAUCAUUCUGCUGCAGAUUCCUCCUAUGCCCAUAAAAAACUCCAUUCCACUGAUGAUCUAGAUGAUCAUUCUGCUGCAGAUGCCUCUCAUACUCAUGAAUAUCCUCAUUCAACCUAUUUAGAUGAUCAUUCUGCUGCAUAUUCCUCGGAUACUGAUGAAUAUCCUCAGCUAACUGAUCUAGAUCCUCAUAAAAAUCCUCAUCCGAUUGAUCAUCAUCAUAUUCAUAUGAGUGAUUACUUAUUAGAUCUUCAGACAAAUUAUUUUCAGGUGAAACAUUAUUCACCUCUUGCAAAUCCUCAUUCAACUGAUUUUCAUCCGAAUUCUACAAGAAAAAAACAGUUAAUGCAACCACAUUAAUAACCAUAAUAAGCAACAAAGAACUCAGUAUUAACAUAUAUAUUCUGAAUCAAGAACAUACAAACUUUAAAAUAAAAAAAGACAAAUAACAAACCAUAUUGAGCUGAGAAUAGAUGAUAAUCGAUUAACUGCAAAAGGAAAACAAAAAUAAACUAUAAGCAACAUAAAAGAACUAGCAAUAAUCAAGUUUCAUAUAUAGAACAUUAUCAUCGCACUAACCUUGGAAUUAGAAAAAACCAACGAGUAUUGUUAAGCGAAGAAAGUCCAGUGCUUUGAAAAAAAAUUCUAGUUUCAGAAACAAAUAGUGGUUUGAGAAUAAGGUUUUAACUAGUUUAUAUAAUGACACGUGAGAGGUUCAAAGGAAUCCUAAUAAAUCCAUUAUUUUAAGCCUUAAAAUUCUUAAAUUUGUUAUUCUUAAUAACAUAAUUAUUUCAGAAGAUUUAUCUUAUUUAUUCAUGGAUAUAAUUUAUUUAUUUUUAGAUUUAUUAAAUAACUAAUCUAUCUGAUAUAAUAAUAAGUCAUAUACAUUUAUUAUUUAAUAAAUUUAAAAAAACUGUAAUUUAUAAAUAGAAUCAAAGAGAAUAUUAAAAAAUAAAUUUAAGUAAAAAGGAGUGAUAUAUUAAUAAUAUAAAUUAAUUUUAUACCAUUAAUGUGUAUACCACCAAGUUUAAAAUUUUAAAUUAUUUAGGUGAGAUAUUAGAAUGAUAUAUUCUUACGAUGUCACUAAAUCUAAAAUAUAAAUAUUUUAUUUUCUCUAAAAUAUAAAAGUUCUUAAAUAAUUUAAUGUCUAAAUAAAGUUUAGCAAUUUUUUAUAUUUAGUUUUUUAUUAUUUAAUAGAAAACAAUAUUUCUGGCUCUAACUAUAGAAAAAUCUAAGACUCCUUCUUCAUACAAAUAUAUUUUUAAUGGUCCCUUCAAUUAGUUAAUAAAAUAAUUUAAAUAUUAAAACAUUAUAUUCCUUAAUGCCACAUUAAUUAUAUAUAUAUAUAUAUAUAUAUAGUAUAUAAUAUAUUCUAUAAUAUAAUAUAUAUAUAUAUAUAUAUAUAUAUAUAUAAUAUAUAUAUAUAUUAUUAAUCAAUAUUUAAUGUUUUAAAUUAAUUGAUUUUAAUUAUUAUUUUAUUAAUGGAAAUAUUAUUGUUUUAUUUAUUUUAAUUUUAUAUAUUUUAUAAAUAUAAUCUAUAACAUUAUACUUUUCAAUUGAACGCUAAAUUUUAUAAUAAAAACAUUAAAUAUUUAUAUAUUAAAUUUGACAUUGAUUAUGCUCCCAAUUAAAAAGUAUAAAACUUUUCCAUUAAUCAAAUCAAAAUAUAAAAUAAUACCUCUUUGACAGAUCGUUUUCUAAUUUUCUUUUAUAAAUAUUUAAUUUGAUGAAAAUUUAAAAGGUUAGUUGUUCAUUUAAUAAAAUUAAAUUCAUUAAUAAAUUAAAGAUUAGUUGCCGUAAAAAAAAUUUAAAUAAUCAUUGUUAUGCUCCCAAUUAUUGUACUUACACGGGUUGAAUAUGGAUAUGAGACCCCGGAUAAUGGUAUAGGAAAUUAACGUUAUGUACAUCACCUAACUCUGCUUACGUUGCAGACUAGGAAUAGAAAGCUCUGAGUAUGGGAUAUUCUAAUAAACUCAUUAUUUUAUACCGUAAAAGUCUUAAAUUUUUUAUUCUCAAUAAUAUAAUUAUUUCAAAAGAUUUAGUUAUUCCAUACCAUCCAAUUUGGUAAGGACACAGUCCCUUCGUCAGUUGUGAAUUCUAAAACUCCGUAGUGAGUAGUUCUUUCAACCGAAGAUUUUCAAUUCAAAUAACAUUGGAUAUUCUAAUAAACCCAUUAUUUUAUGCCGUAAAAGUCUUAAAUUUGUUAUUCUCAACAAUAUAAUUAUCUCUGAAGAUUUAAUUAUUCAAUUCCAUCCAAUUUGGUAAGGACACAGUCCCUUCAUUAGCUAUGAAUUCUAAAACUCCGCAGUGAGUAGUUCUUUCGGCGGAAGAAUUUUUCAAUUCAAAUAACAUAAGAUAUUCUAAUAAACCCAUUAUUUUAUGCCGUAAAAGUCUUAAAUUUGUUAUUCUCAAUAAUAUAAUUAUUUUUAAAGAUUUAGUUAUUCCAUUCAUCCAAUUUGGUAAGGACACAGUCCCUUCGUUUGUGCAGUGACUGGUUCUUUCGGCAGAAGAAUUUUUCAAUUUAAAUAACAUAAGAUAUUCUAAUAAACCCAUUAUUUUAUAUCAAAAAAAAAGUCUUAAAUUUGUUAUUCUCAAUAAUAUAAUUAUUUCGGAAGAUUUAGUUAUUCCAUUCCAUCUUAUUUAUUUAUAGAUAUACUUUAUUUUUAUUUUUAUUAUUUAUUGAAUAAUUAAUAUAUAUGAUAUAAUAAUAGACCAAUAAAUCAUAUACAUUGAUCAUUUAAUAAUUUGAAAAAAUAAAUUGUAUUUUAUGAAUAAAAAUAAAGAGAAUAUUAAAAAGUAAAUAUAAAUAAAAAUGAGUGUUACACUGAUAAUAUAAAUUAACUUUAUACUAGCAACAUGUAUGAAGUUUAAUAUUUUAAAUUACUUAUAUAAUAUUUCAGAAUUAUAUAUAUAUCUAUUGGAUAAAGUGUAUUUCCAUUGAACCCAAAAUAUAAAUAUUUUAUUUUAUCUAAAAUAUAAAAGUUCUUAAAUAAUUUAAUGUCUAAGUAAAGUUUAGUUAUGUUUUAUAUUUAUUUUUUAAUUAUUUAAUGAAACUAACUAGUAGAAAAAUCUAAACUUCUUUCUUCAAAAAUAUAUUUUACAGGUCCUUCAAUUAGUUACGAAUAUAAACUUACCAAGGCAUUCUAGAGCCGAAGAAGACAUGAUAUCCGAAAGAAAAGAGAAUUUGCAUUAGCUAUUGAAAUUAUCACAAUGGUUGAUGAUUGAUACAAAAUAAUAAAAUGUAACUAAGUAUUAUUGAAUAUUUUACAAGGAUGAUCUAUGCUUAUAUUUGAAAACCAUCUGAUGACAUAUCCUAUUGAGAGAUGAGACCGAAAAACAACGGUAAGAAUGCUCAAAAAUUGUACUCUGUCGCAGAUUCCUCCUAUAUCCAUAAAAAACCUCAUUGCACUGAUGAUCAUUCUGCUGCAGAUUCCACAUAUGCCCAUAAAAAACCUCAUUACACUGAUGAUCAUUCUGCUGCAGAUUCCUCCUAUGACCAUAAAAAAACUCAUUGCACUGAUGAUCAUUCUGCCGCAGAUUCCUCCUAUGCCCAUAAAAAACCUCAUUCCAUUGAUGAUCAUUCUGCCGCAGAUUCCUCCUAUGCCCAUAAAAAAACCCAUAGCACUGAUGAUCAUUCUGUUGCAGAUUCCUCUUAUGCCCAUAAAAACCUCAUUGCACUGAUGAUCAUUCUGCCGCAGAUUCCUCCUAUGCCCAUAAAACACCCCAUUGCACUAAUGAUCAUUCUCCCGCCGCAGAUUCCUCCUAUGCCCAUAAAAAACCCCAUUGCACCGAUGAUCAUUCUGCCUCCGUAGAUUCUUCCUAUGCCCAUAAAAAAAACCAUUGCACUGAUGAUCAUUCUGCCGCCGCAGAUUCCUUCUAUGCCCAUAAAAAACCUCAUCCCAUUGAUGAUCAUUCUGCCGCAGAUUCCUCCUAUGCCCAUAAAAAACCCCAUUGCACUGGUAAUCAUUCUGCCGCCGAAGAUUCCUCCUAUGCCCAUAAAAAACCCCAUUGCACUGAUGAUCAUUCUGCCGCCGAAGAUUCCUCUUAUGCCCAUAAAAAAACUCAUUGCACAGAUUAUUAUUCUGCCGUCGCAGAUUCCUCCUAUGCCCAUAAAAAACCUCAUUGCACUGAUGAUCAUUCUGCCGCAGAUUCCGCCUAUGCCCAUAAAAAAACCCAUUGCACUAAUGAUCAUUCUGCCGCAGAUUCCUCCUAUGCCCAUAAAAAACCCAUUGCACAGAUGAUCAUUCUGCCGCAGAUUCCUCUUAAGCCCACAAAAAACCUCAUUGCACUGAUGAUCAUUCCGCCGCAGAUUCAUCCUAUGCCCAUAAAAAACCCCAUUGCACUGAUGAUCAUUCUGCUGCAGAUUCUUCAUAUGUCCAUAAAAAUGCUUAUUGCACUGAUGAUCAUUUUGCCACAGAUUCCUCUUAUGCCCAUAAAAAUUUCCAUUGCACUGAUGAUCAUUCUGCUGCAGAUUCCUUCUAUGCCCAUAAAAAAAACCAUUGCACUGAUGAUCAUUCUGCUGUAGAUUCCUCCUAUGCCCAUAAAAAAAGUCAUUGCACUGAUGAUCAUUCUGGCGCAGAUUCCUCCUAUGCCCAUAAAAAACCUCAUUGCACUGAUGAUCAUUCUGCCGCAGAUUCAUCCUAUGCCCAUUAAAAAUCCCAUUGCACUGAUGAUCAUUCUGCCGCAGAUUCCUCCUAUGCUCAUAAAAAAAACCAUUGCGCUGAUGAUCAUUCUGCCGCGGAUUUCUCCUAUGCCCAUAAAAAACCUCAUUGCACUGAUGAUCAUUCUGCCACAGAUUCCUCCUAUGCCCAUAAAAAAACCCAUUGCACUGAUGAUCAUUCUGCCGCAGAUUCCUUCUAUGCCCAUAAAAAACUUCAUUCCAUUGAUGAUCUAGAUGAUCAUUCUGCUGCAGAUUCCUCUCAUACUCAUGAAUAUCCUUGUUCAACCGAUUUAGAUGCUCAUUCCGCCACAGAUUCCUGUGAUACUGAUGAAUAUCCUCAGCAAAUUGAUCUAGAUCCUCAUAAAAAUCCUCAUCCGAUUGAUCAUCAUCAUAUUCAUAUGAGUGAUUACUUAUUUGAUCUUCAGACAAAUUGUUUUCAAGUGAAACAUUAUUCACCUCUUGCAAAUCCUCAUUCAACAGAUUUUCAUCAGAAUUCUACAAGAAAAAACAGUUAAUGCAACCACAUUAAUAACCAUAAUAAGCAACAAAGAACUGAGCAUUAACAUAUAUAUUCUGAAUCAAGAACAUACAAACUUUAAAAUAAAAAAGACAAAUAACAUACCAUAUUGAGCUGAGAAUAGAUGAUAUUCGAUUAACUGCAAAAGGAAAACAAAAACAACUAUAAGCAACAUAAAAUAACUAGCAAUAAUCAAGUUUCAUAUAUAGAACAUUAUCAUCGCACUAACCUUGGAAUUAGUGGUUUGAAGAAAGUCCAAGGCUUUGAAGAAAAUUUCUAGUUUCAGAAACAAAUAGUGGUUUGAGAAUAAGGUUUUAACUAGUUUAUAUAAUGGCAUGUGAGAGGUCCAAAGGAAUCCUAAUAAACCCAUUAUUUUAUGCCUUAAAAUUCUUAAAUUUAUUAUUCUUAAUAAUAUAAUUAUUUUAGAAGAUUUAUCUUAUUUAUUCAUGGAUAUAACUUAUUUUUUUAGAUUUAUUAAAUAACUAAUCUAUCUGAUAUAAUAAUAGGUCAUAUACAUUUAUUAUAUAAUAAAUUUAAAAAAUAAAUUGUAAUUUAUAAAUAGAAUCAAAGAGAAUAUUAAAAAAUAAAUUUAAGUAAAAAGAAGUGAUAUAUUAAUAAUAUAAAUUAAUUUUAUACCAUUAAUGUGUAUGCCACCAAGUUUAAAAUUUUAAAUUAUUUAUAUGACAUAUUAGAAUGAUAUAUUCUUACGAUGUCACUAAAUCUAAAAUAUAAAUAUUUUAUUUUAUCUCAAAUAUAAAAGUUCUUAAAUAAUUUAAUGUCUAAAUAAAGUUUAGCAAUUUCUUAUAUUUAUUUUUUAAUUAUUUAAUAAAAACUGAUAUUUCUACCUCUAACUACUAGAAAAAUCUAAACUUCUUUCUUCAAAAAUAUAUUUUAUAGGUCCCUUCAAUUAGUUAAUAAAAUUAAUUUAAAUAUUAAAAUAUUAUUUUCUUAAUCNNNNNNNNNNNNNNNNNNNNNNNNNNNNNNNNNNNNNNNNNNNNNACAAAAAGGGGGGAAAAAACGGCCGAGAUUUUUUUUUUUUUUUUUGGGGAAAAAAGGGCCCCCAAAUGAAAAAUCCAAAUGGUCAAAAAUUUAAUAUAUUACGAAUAUUUAAUGUUUUGUUAAUUUAAAAUUUUAAGGCGUUCAAUUGGAAAAAGUAUAAUGUUCUAUAGAUAUAUUGUAUAAAAUAUAAUACUAAUUAAAAUAACUAAAACAAUAAUGUAACUUUCCCAUUAUAAAUAAUACAUUACAAUCAGUUUAAUUUAAAACAUUAUUAAUUUGCAUAUUUAAAAUAGCAUGAUAUACAUAUAUAUAUAUAAUAUAUAGUAUACAUAUAUAUAUAUAUAAAGUAUAUACUAUAUAUAAUUGUAUUAUAUAUAUUUAAAUUAUAUAAUUAUUAAUAUAAAUAUAUAUCUAUAUACAUAUUAUUAUAUAUAUAUAAUAUAUAUAUAUAUAAUAUAUAUAGUUAUAUAAUAUAUAUAUCUAUAGUAUAUAUAUAUAUAUAUAUUAUAUAUAUUAGUUAAUAUAUUAUAAUAUAUAUAUACAGUUUAUAGUAAUAUCAUACAUAUAUAGUAAGCGAGAGAGGGAAUUAUAUUGAAAUACACUCGUCAGUAAAAGAGUUUAUCACUCAUCAGUUAGAUUAUAGACGUUGGAUAUUAAAGAAGUUUUAACUUUUAUUGUUAAAAAUCUAUAAGUAAUACAACGGCGUGAUGGUGAUGAACCGACGGUCGUAAAACUAUUGUUACACUCGACAGCGAUAGUAAUUAAUCUCAUAUAUAUAUAUAUAUAUAUAUAUAUAUAUAUUAUAUAUAUAUAUAUAUAUAAUAUAUAUAUAUAUAAGUAUAUUAUUAUAUAUAUUUGUAAUAGUGCAUUAAGGAAGUAGUAUGAUUUUAAUAUUUAAAAUUAAUUUUUAAUUAACUAAUUGAAGGCAACUAUAAAUAUAUUUUUGAAGAAAGAAGUUUUUGAUUUUUCUAGUAGUUAGAGCAGAAAUAUUAGUUUUUUAUUAAAUAAUAAAACUAAAUAUAAAAAUUGCUAAACCUUUAUUUAGACAUUAAAUUAUUUAAGAACUUUUAUAUUUUAGAGAAAUUAAAAUAUUUUUUUUAGAUUUAGUGACAGCCGUAAGAAUAUAUCAUUCUAAUAUCUCAUAUAAAUAAUAAAACUUUAAACUUGUGGUAUACACAUUAAUGGUAUAAAAUUAUUUUAUUUAUUAAUAUCAUCUUUUAUACUUAAAUUUAUUUUUAUAUUCUCUUUGAUUCCUAUUUAUAAUUACAAUUUCAUUUUUUAAAUUUAUUAAUAUAAUAAAUGUAUAUGUCUUAUUAUUAUAUCAGAUAGAUUAGUUAUUUAAUAAAUCUAAAAAAAAGUAAUUAUAUCCAUGAAUAAAUAAGAUAAAUCUUCGUAAAAUAAUUAUAUUAUUAAGAAUAACAAUUUAAGAAUUUUAAGGCAUAAAUAAUGGGUUUAUAGGAUUCUUUGAACCUCUCACGUGCCAUUAUAUAAACUAGUUAAAAACCUUAUUCUCAACCACUAUUUCUUUCUGAAACUAGAAUUUUCUUCAAAGCACUGGAGCUUUGCUUCGGCUUAAUAAUAAUCAUUUCGCAUUAAUGAAAUAAUAAGGUAAACUCAAUUAAUUUAAAGCAUUAAUAGUUGGAAUUUAAAAUAGCAUUAUACUAUAUAUUAUAUAUAUAUAAUAUAUAAUAUAUAUUAUAUAUAGUAUAUAUAUAUAUAUAUAAUAAUUAAUAGGUGUCUUAAAUAUUUAUAUAUUAAAUUUGACAUUGAUUAUGCUCCCAAUUAAAAAAUAUAAAACUUUUCCAUUAAUCAAAUCAAAAUAUAAAAUAAUACCUCUUUGACAGAUCGUUUUCUAAUUUUCUUUUAAUAAAUAUUUAAUUUGAUAAAAAUUUAAAAGGUUAGUUGUUCAUUUAAUUAAUUUAAAUUCAUUAAUAAAUUAAAGAUUAGUUGCCGUAAAAAAAAUAAUUAAAUAAUCAUAUUUUUCCAUAAUAAUUUUUUUCAUAAGAAUUUCUCAAAUGCUCAUCUUUUAAAUAAAAAAUAUUCUUGCUCACGACUCCAAUCAAUUAGAUUGGCGUCCGCAUUAUACAUUUUAGAAGGUAAAUUAGGCUCAUUGACGCCUUUAUUAGCCAAGUCAGCCCAAUUGUUUGCUUUUUAAUUGGUAAUCAAAUAUUGUAUUUUGAUAAUACUGUUUUUUGUAUAAAUUGAGGUGUGAUGAGAAUCAUUUUUUCACACAUUUUCUUCGUUUGUUUUAACAUGAGUAGUAAAAGACAUGAACAUGUUUUUUAUUCGAGAACUAAAUCUCUGAUGAAGAUGUGUUUUUGAGUUAACUGAAGUUUCGGGCAACUUGAGAGGAAUUUGAUCCCCUGGUUAGACAGGGAGAUUAACGAUGGUGAAAGAGUUAGAAGAAUUGACAGACUUGUUUCGUACAUCUCUAUUCUAGAUGACAAUGAUGGUAUCCAACUUAUGUGUGUGGUUGUCACGUGCUCAAGAGCCAUUACCUUUAAGUCAUGCAUAUUGUCUGCCUCAACAAGAAACAAGUCUAUUGUCAUCUCUAUUGUUUCGUACAAUAUAUUGUUCAAGUUUGUCACGUGCUGAGGCAGACAAUAUACUUCUCUUUUAAUCUGAUUUUGGGUACAUAUGAAAUACUGAUCAUUGGUCAAUGUGUUGGGCCUAAGGAAAAUUGUUGUACUUACACUGGUUGAAUAUGGAUAGGAGACCCCGAGUAAUGCCAUAGGAAAUUAACGUUCUGUACAUCGCCUAACUCUGCUUACGUUACGGACUAGUAAUAGAAAACUCUAAGUAGUGGUUAGUGAGUUGUUUAAUGAGGAAUCGACUAUAACGGUUUUGUUAAUCUGAUGUGAGGUUAGAGUGGUUAGAUGAUUCAUACAGGGUAUCAAACAUCAACAAUAGAGGAAUGAGGGAUUCUACAACACAAUCUGACCGUAUUCAUGACAUUGUUUUCUCAUUUAUUUACUUUUUACACUGAAACACGACCCCCUUCCCCCUUUUACUAGUUUUUCUAAAUUGCACACAUUUUGUCUUGCUUGAGUCCAUGUGGAUUCAAUCUUUUUUAUUACUUGGAUAUUAUCGGUACGCUUGCCGAGAAGUCAUCAAGUUUUUGGUACUGUUGCUGAGGCUUGUUGAGUUUUCAACAAGGCGAUGUUUGUGUAAUUUUUAUUUAUAAGUAUUUUUAAUUCUGAUUUUAUUUUCUUGUUUAUUAUAGUGCUACUGAGGUAUUUUUUUGUUUGUGGAUGUGCACUUCAAGAUCAACAUUAUUUCCAUUUGAUCUAGAAAUUGAAAGAAGCACAUGUGCUAUAAGAAAAAUAGUUAGAGAAGCAACUAUGGACAAUAGAAUAUCAGAAGAAGAGCAACUAUCAAGUUAUUCUAACUCUGAAGAAGAAGUCAUCAUGGCAGUUGCAUACACCCCCUCCCUAUGGGGGACUAUUGUAAACGAACUGAUAAAGGACAGGUUUUUAGGGGGUUUGUACCAGCAUACCCCACUAAUUUUGAUAUUAAAAAUUUUGUACUUUCAGUUUUAAGAGAAAAUUCAUUCGACUGUAACGCGAUUAGACACCCAUUGACGCAUCUUGCACGCUUCUAUGAAACAACUUCUAUGUGCAAAUCUACUGAUGUCACUGAAUACCAGGUUAAAUUGAGGUUGUUUGGGUUCUCAUUUUAUUAGUAACUAAGAACCAUGAAAUUUUGAGCAUAAACCAUGAUGCGUCAAUCAAGAAUUUGGAGACUUAGAUGUGUUGGACCUAAGAUCAAUUAUUAUACUUACGCUGGUUGAAUAUGGAUAUGAGACCCCGGAUAAUGGUAUAGGAAAUUAACGUUAUGUAUAUCACCUAACUCUGCUUACGUUGCAGAUGAGGAAUAGAAAGCUCUAAGUAUUGGAUAUUCUAAUAAACCCAUUAUUUUAUACCGUAAAAGUCUUAAAUUUGUUAUUCUCAAUAAUAUAAUUAUUUCGAAAGAUUUAAUUAUUCCAUACCAUCCAAUUUGGUAAGGACGGAGUCCCUUCGUCAAUU
rnacentral:lncRNA from 1 species